UGUUUUGUAAAAUGUCAAAGUGACAAAAUUCUAAUAUUUUGAUUUACGGGAGCAGAAAGCAGACCCCUACUAAACAAUUUAAGUUGACAAAGUUGUGAAGAAUGAAUUCAUUCUAGCCUUUUAUCUAAUUCAGUUUUCCCUGGAACUAGUGUUUGUAUAAUGGACUAACAGUGCAGAAAAUAUUUUCGCCUACGAUCUUAACCUGUUGCUAGUUAAGUUGACAGCAAAAUGUUUUACGGCAUUUCAAACUGUUGCUGUUGGAUUCACAGCUUCAGCAACUACAAGAUUGGGCACGAAGAGAGGAGUCUAAUUCAAGAUCUGACAGAUGGGAAUCUUGCCUCCUCGCAAGAUCAGCUCAAAAAUGUUGGAUCAAAACCUACUUUGCUUGAAGCUAUGCAGCAAGAUUGGAAGAAAAAAAGGAAUCGCUUUUAGAAAAAAAAUAGGCUUAACUCUCUACUUUCAAGAAGAAAUGACGGCCUGGGUAGACUUACAGGGGAGCUCAAGGCUUUAACUGAUCAACUUGUUCAUGCUAAUAAAGAAAAAUCUGAAGCCCUUAUUAAAACUGAAGAGCUUAACAGCCAACAACUCACUUUGGAAUACAAAGAGAGAAGGCUGGACCAAGAACGGGAACUUAUUGUUCGACAACAGAGGCUUCUGCAAGAUGAACUUGAAACAAGAACAAGAGAGAUUAUGACCAUACGACGUGAGAAGACUUCAAGAGUGCUAGAACUCGAAGAACUAGAAGAAAACAUUGAAGCCAUGUCACCUGCGGCUUCUCGGUAAUC